rnacentral:lncRNA from 1 species
GGGAGGAGGACCUGCUGCCUGAGGAGAGGGAGGUUCCUCUGCUAAAGUGAGUUCCUCUAAAUGUCUGUGUAGUCUGAGCUUGUCAAAUGCUGAAGGAUAGUGGUCAUAAUGCUGUUAUCCCCCAUUGACUCUAAUGGUUGACAUGCUCCAUUCCCUCCCUUUCACAGCCUCUACCUUACCACCAAGAGAGUGGAGGACAUCGCCCUGAGGCUCGUCUCCCUGCGCCAGGCCUUCACUGUGAGUGGACCCACUUUUAUUUUUCUCUCUGUGACUUCUUGUUCUCCUUGAGGAAGAUGUGUCACCCUAACUCUUCCCUCUUUCCUAGACCCUGCUUGGUUCCACCCUGAGCAGGAACCAUCUGUUUGUGGCGGGAAAGGUCCUCCUGGGCGCUUUGGUUCAGGCCAACCACAUGGUAACUCACUAACUCAUUCUCUUUCAAGGGAAUUAGAGCAUCCCUAAGGGGAAAUGUGUUCUGUUCACUAAGAUGCUAUUUUCUUUGUCAUAGGACGAGGCCAAAUUCAUCCGUACCUAUAACGACUUUGUGGACUACCUGAGUGACCCCUCCAAGCGGAAUGACAUUGAGAGGGAGCUGGCUGAGGCAAAGGUGAGUUCAUUAACUCUUUCAAGUCUCACUGAGUUCUUCCACAUGCGUGUCUUUUAUACAUCACAGUAGCUGAACUAUAUGAAAUCAUUCCUAUUUUCUCCAAAUGUGUUUUCUUGUCCUAGAUCCAUCAUGUGAACAUGAUAGAUGUCCUCUUUGAGCUAGUGCUGUUUGGGAUGAUGACAGCUCAGAAGUCCCUGAUGGUGCACCCUGGUGGGUUCGUGGAGCGUCUGUACGCUCUCCUGUACUCCUUCCUGCCCACUGCUGCCAACAUGGAGCCAGAGGCUGACAGAUACCUGCUGCUGCUCAAUGUAAGAGUCAAAAGGUUACUUCCUGUUUACUUCCUUAUUCAUGGUUAACCAGGUCCCAAUGCCAUUUUAGGGGGAGUAUUUCUAAUUGUCUCUCUCCUCUUGAUAAGCUAGUACCUCAGAGCCAUUUUCUAUGUGUUGUGUGGUGUUCUCUUCAGGGCGGACUGAUGGCUCUGCUAGAUGACAUGUUUGGCCAGCAGCUGGCCUGGUACUUUAACCCAGAGUCUCUGGUCACUGAGCUCUCCAGCCUCCUGGAGUACCACUUGGAGAACGUCAUGGCCAGCAUGUAGUCCUACUGCAGGGACCAUACUCCUUUCUCCAUUUUUGCUUCUGUCUUUUCAUCUAUUUGAUUUAUGACCAUUUCCUCUUCCUGGAGGUAUAAUGCAUAUAUUAGAAUAUUACAUGAACAAUGAUGCUUUAUUAUCUGCAUAUGGAAAUAAAAAACUAUGUUUAGUUGAUUUACAGAUACUAUAGGCCCACACUUAUAUGGUUUUGUACAGUGAUAUGUGAUAAUGUACUAUUUAAACACAUGUAGGACUAUAUACACUGAGUGCACAAAACAUUAGGAACAUCUGCCCCUGAACAGGCAGUUAACCCACUGUUCCUUGGCCAUCAUUGAAAAUAAGAAUUUAUUCUUAACUGACUUGACUAGUUAAAUAAGAAAAUACUGUACUAUUUAAAAACAUGUAGGAUGACAUACACUGAGUCCACAAUAGACUAGGAACAUCUUCCUAAUAUUGAGUUGCACACUCUUUUCCCCUCAGAACAGCCUCAUUUCCUCUGGGCAUGGACUCGACAAGCUGCCCUAAGCGUUCCACAAGGAUGCUGGCCCAUGUUGUGUCAAGUUGGCUGGACGUCCUUUGGGUGGUGGACCAUUCUUGAUACACAUGGGAAACUGUUGAGCAUGAAAAAACCAGCAGUGUUGCAGUGCUUGACACACUUAACCCGGUGCGCCUGGCACCUACUACCAUACCCCGUUCAAAGGCAGUUAAAUAUUUUCUCAUGCCGAAUCACCCUCUGAAUGAC